ACUCCUACGGGAGGCAGCAGUGGGGAAUAUUGCACAAUGGGCGCAAGCCUGAUGCAGCCAUGCCGCCGGUGUUGAAGAAGGCCUUCGGUUGGUAAAAUGCACUUUCAGUCGUGAGGAGUAGUGUAGUUAAUAGCUGCAUUAUUUGACGUUAGCGACAGAAGAAGCACCGGCUAACUCCAGUGCCCAGGCUACCGCGGAAUACGGAGGGUGCGAGGCCGUUAAUCGGAAUUACUGGGCGUAAAGCGCAUGCAGGUGGUUUGUUAAGUCAGAUGUGAAAGCCCGGGGCUCAACCUCGGAAUUGCAUUUGAAAGCUGGCAGACUA
rnacentral:rRNA from 1 species